rnacentral:sRNA from 1 species
UAGGCAUGCAAAAAAACUUUAACCAUAAAGUGCUAUCUACGUGUUCAUUAUUAUUAGUUGCUAGCAUUGUCAAACUCAUUGUGUAGAAUGUAUGCUGCUUAUUUAAUAUUUGAAUCAUCAGAUUUAAAAGUUUUACUUUGUAAAAUUGUUUUCCUUUCAUAUGUUAUUGAGGUAUAUUGUAUUAUUAUAUUUAUUUGGUGUUAACUAGCUUUCCUUUCCUGAAGUAGUCCCUAUUUUGCCAUAAUUUAUUUUGGUUUUUUUAGACAGGUAUUUUAAAUAACAGCAUUUAAGAUUAUAUAUUUAUCUCUUAGUUUAGCUUUAGUUAUGUCUCACAAAUUUUAAUACACAAUAUUUUGUCAAAUGUUAUUGAAAUUAUAUUGUGAUUUACCAUAAAAUCCAUAUGUUGCUUAGUAGAAGAAAUGUUUUUUUUUAAUUUUACAGAUCACCACUCAUUGUUUUUCCAACCUUUUAAAAAAAUUCGCUACUCAUUUAUUGAAGAAACUAGGUCAUUUGUCUUAUAGCUUCCCAUGUUCAGAUUUUUACUGUUUGCCUCCUGUGGUGUCACUUAAUGUUUAACUUAUUGCCAACGUCAUUGAAAUUUUAUUUCAAUGUAAAUUUCCCCUCUAUUUCCUGUAAAUUGAUGGUUAAAUCUAGAGGCUUGAUCAGAUUUUGGCGAGAGAUUUUUUGGCAAGAAUACUUUACAAGUGUUGCUGUGUACUUCCAUCAGCAAACAUGUAACAACGAGUUAUUUUUUUCUGAUGUUAGCCAUCAAUAAUCUUUGUCUACACCUUAGUUAAUUAAGAGUUGAAAACUGGUGAAAGUCUGUUGCAAUCAAUAUUACUAAAAAAGCAAGCUUCCCCGUGUCAGCUAUAUGACUGCUACGUAGGUCGAAUUCAAUCAGAAAAAAGUAGAAUAGGCUGGAUGCAGUGGCUCACGCCUGUAAUCCCAGCACUUUGGGAGGCCGAGGCGGGUGGAUCACCUGAGGCCAGGAGUUCGAGACCAGCCUGGCCAACAUGGCAAAACCCUGUCUCUACUAAAAAUACAAACAUUAGCCAGGCAUGGGGGCGCAUGCCUGUAGUCCCAGCUACUUGGGAGGCUGAGCAGGAGAAUCGCUUGAACCCAGGACUCAGAGGUUGCAGUGAGCCAAGAUUACGCCACUGCACUCCAGCCUGGGCGACAGAGCGAGAUUCAAAAAAAGGCUCUGUCUCAAUAAAUAAAUAAAUAAAUAAGAGAAGAAAAAGGUAUAAUAAAAGUUGGAUGAUUUCCUUUUAUCAGUUUUUAAAAUAAUGGACUGGUUCUCUAGCGUAACACAAAGGUGAACAAAGAGGCUUUUUUUUUAGUAUCUUUAUGAAUGUAUGAAAUUAAACACAUGUGACGUGUUUCAGUUUAUUGAGUUACUUUUAUGAUGUCCAAAUUAUCCUUAUUUUUACCAGUAGAAACCGUCUCAAGUUGGUUCCUGAGUCCUUUUAACACAACCUGGUAGACUUUGAUAGCAUUCUUUCUAGUAUGGCUAGAUGUCCCAAGCUUAUCUUGUACAUUCUUUGAUACCAACAGAGAAUCAACCAUUCUCAAGUAAUCAUGGUUUCUUUUAAUGGGAAAUGGAAUUUAUAGCCAAUUUGGGCCAGGGAGGCUCAGCACUACUGGCUGUGUCACUGUUUGUAGGCCCUUCAGUUGAUAUUAGGAGAUGCUUUUUGGAAAAUUUUAUAUAAAUAUUAUGUAUACAACCUUGAGGUUUGACAUUUGCCAUUCUGACUAAAGUAGGGCUUCCUAAUUUUCAGCACUAUUAACAUUUGAGACAAGAUAAUUCUGUCAUUAGGGACUGUCUUUUGCAAUGUACUAUGUUUGGAAUCCUCACUGGCCUCUACCCAGUAAAUGCAGACAGCACAGUCUCCUAACCCCAUUGCCAAUGGUGGCAAUCAAAUUGUCCCUAGCCUUUGUCAGAUGUCCUCUGGGUGACAAAAUUGGUCCCAGUUGAGACCCACCCUAUUAAAGAAAUAACUUUUAUGAAACAUUUAACAAAGUACUGAGCAAUUAUAAUGACUCACAUUUUGUAGAAUAAGAUAUUUCAUAGUUGUUUAGCUGUGAGACAAAAGUAUAAUCAAAAUAAAGGAACAAACUAUGUGGUAGCAAUUUCAUGUCUUGUUUAAUUUGAAGUGUCCUUUCUAUUUUGCUUCUAUACUUCAAAAGCAGAACACAGACUCUGAGUCAAAAAAAUUGAGUUUGUGUCGUAGCUCUGUCAUUUCCUGAGUGUUGGCCUUGUUUUUUAAGCUUCAGUUUCCUCUGCUGUGAAAUAGGAACAAUAUUUGCUUGUUGCUUUGAGAACUUAAUAAGAUUUAAGGUGCUUAGCAGAGUGCCUUGUUUGUAGACUAUAAUUAGUAGCUUUUAGCAUUAGAUAAGUUUGCAAAGGGAAAGUAAGAGAAAGAAAUCUUGGAAGUGAACAGUCAACCUCACGUACAAAAGUAAGAUGCUUUUCUUCUAUUUUAGAGUCCUGCCAAAUAUCACAAAACCUAGAUAUUAUGAAGGACAAAGAAAAUAAAGGGUUUUUCAGUUUUUUUCAACGCAGUAAGAAAAAGCGGGACCAAACUGCAAGUGCCCCUGCAACCCCUCUAGUAAAUAAGCACCGCCCAACUUUUACAAGGUCCAAUACCAUUUCCAAACCAUAUAUUUCCAACACCCUGCCGUCGGAUGCACCCAAGAAGAGGCGGGCUCCACUGCCCCCGAUGCCAGCAUCUCAGAGUGUCCCCCAAGACCUUGCACACAUCCAGGAGAGGCCUGCUUCUUGUAUAGUGAAAUCCAUGAGCGUGGAUGAGACAGAUAAGAGUCCCUGUGAAGCAGGAAGAAUGAGGGCAGGUUCACUGCAGCUCAGCAGCACGUCUGCAGGGAAUUCAUCUUUGAGAAGGACAAAGCGAAAAGCACCUUCCCCACCCUCCAAAAUACCCCCGCAUCAAAGUGAUGAAAAUAGUCGUGUGACUGCCUUACAGCCAGUAGAUGGAGUUCUUCCAGACAGUGCUUCAGAAGCAAACUCUCCAGAGGAGCUAUCCAGCCCAGCUGGAAUAAGCUCUGAUUAUAGCCUUGAAGAGAUAGAUGAAAAGGAAGAACUGAGUGAAGUGCCUAAAGUUGAAGCUGAAAAUAUUUCUCCGAAGUCACAAGAUAUUCCUUUUGUAUCUACUGAUAUAAUAAAUACACUGAAAAAUGAUCCUGACUCAGCCCUUGGCAAUGGUAGUGGAGAGUUCUCACAAAACUCCAUGGAAGAAAAACAAGAAACUAAAAGCACAGAUGGACAAGAACCACAAAGUGUAGUAUAUGAUACAAGCGAUGAAAAGAAGGUAGUUGACAGUAUAAGAAACUUGAAGUCGUUGGGCCCAAACCAAGAGAAUGUAGUUCAAAAUGAAAUAAUUGUCUUUCCAGAGAACACAGAAGACAAUAUGAAAAAUGGAAUGAAGAAAACAGAAAUCAGUGUAGGAGGUGUUGCCAAAAAUAACAACAUUGAUAUAGAAGUUGAGAGACCAUCAAACUCUCAGGCACAUGAAACUGAUACUGCUAUAAGUUACAAGGAAAACAAUCUAGCAGCUUCAUCAGUACCAGAUCAAAAACUGAAUCAACCCAGUGCAGAAAAGACAAAAAUGCAAGAUGCAGCAAUUCAGACAACCCCUUCUUGUAACAGUUUUGAUGGGAAACACCAAGAUCAUAAUUUGUCUGACUCCAAAGUUGAAGAAAGUGUGCAAACUUCAAAUAACAACAUAUCAACUCAACACUCAUCCUUAAGUUCACAAGAUUCUGUAGAUACCUCAGAGGAAUUCAGGAGUCAAGGCACCCUAAUUAUACAUUCAGAAGAUCCACUUACCGUAAAAGAUCCAAUUUGUGCACAUGAUAAUGAUGAUCUUUUGCCUCCUAUAGAUAGGAUUGACAAAAAUUCAGCUGCUUCUUACCUAAAGAAUUACCCACUUUAUAGACAGGACUACAAUCCCAAGCCAAAACCUUCAAAUGAAAUUACACGAGAGUAUAUACCCAAAAUUGGCAUGACUACUUAUAAAAUAGUGCCUCCCAAAUCCUUGGAAAUAUCGAAAGACUGGCAAUCAGAAACCAUAGAGUAUAAAGAUGAUCAGGACAUGCAUGCUUUAGGGAAAAAGCACACUCAUGAGAAUGUGAAAGAAACUGCCAUCCAAACAGAAGAUUCUGCUAUUUCUGAAAGCCCAAAAGGGCCACUGCCAAACCUUAAACCGAAGCCUAACCUGAGAACAGAGCAUCAAGUGCACAGUUCUGUGAGCUCACCUGAUGGUGCCAUGGUUAGUCCUCUGAAACCUAGUCCCAAAAUGACAAGAGACACUGGCACAGCUCCUUUUGCACCAAAUUUGGAAGACAUAAACAAUAUUUUGGAAUCAAAAUUUAAAUCUCGGGCUUCAAAUCCCCAGGCCAAACCCAGCUCUUUUUUUUUGCAGAUGCAGAAGAGAGUAUCGGGUCACUAUGUGACAUCUGCAGCUGCCAAGAGUGUCCAUGCUGCCCCUAUUCCUGCUCCAAAAGAACUGACAAAUAAAGAGGCAGAAAGGGAUAUGCUGCCUUCUCUGGAGCAGACUCUUUCUCCCUUAAGUAAAACGCCUCACUCUGUUCCACAACCCCUUGUUGAAAAAACUGAUGAUGAUGUCAUCGGUCAGGCUCCUGCUGAAGCCUCCCCUCCUCCCAUAGCUCCGAAACCUGCGACAAUUCCUGCUAGUCAGGUAUCCACACAAAAUCUGAAGACUUUGAAAACUUUUGGAGCCCCACGACCAUACUCAAAUUCUGGUCCUUCACCGUUUGCUCUUGCUGUAGUGAAGAGGUCACAGUCUUUCAGUAAAGAGCGCACCGAGUCACCUAGUGCCAGUGCAUCCGUCCAACCUCCAGCCAACACAGAAGAAGGGAAGACUCAUUCUGUAAAUAAAUUUGUAGACAUCCCACAACUUGGUGUGUCUGAUAAGGAAAAUAACUCUGCACAUAAUGAACAGAAUUCCCAAAUACCAACUCCAACUGAUUGCCCAUCAUUCACUGUUAUGAGACAAAGUUCUUUAACAUUCCAAAGCUCUGACCCAGAACAGAUGCGACAGAGUUUGCUGACUGCAAUCCGUUCAGGAGAGGCUGCUGCCAAAUUGAAAAGGGUUACCAUUCCAUCAAAUACAAUAUCUGUGAAUGGAAGGUCAAGACUCAGCCAUUCCAUGUCCCCUGAUGCCCGGGACGGCCGUUAAAUGUUACCCUGCCACACCACUGCACUUCACUUCCACUUCAGACCAACUUCAUACUAAUGGAACAUUUUGGCAAAUGUAUAUUCAGAUGUACACUAAUAUAUUAUCUUUUAAAAUAUUAGAAUUUGUGCUGUGGCUUUUAAUGCCAGAAGAAAAGUUACCAGAAUUUAUAAUUUAUAGUAAUUUUUUGAUCUUUUUUUUGCCUUAAGAGUUGAAUAUGCUGCUUUAGAACUUUAAAACAAGGUGUAAAUGAUUUUCACUUUUUACAAAUGAAAAAUAAUCCCUUUGUAUUGAUUUCAUUUACCAGCACAUUCUCUACAAUGGUGACUUAGACAAAAGUGUAAGAUUCGUAGACUUAUAUUUGUAUGACAUACAACUAGGACAAACAUAGAUAUGACAUUUGCUGCCUCAGUGUUGCAAUUGGAAAUGUUUAUAAGUUAUAUGAAAGCCUGCUUUGGGCUGAAAGAAUGAUUUAGAAAACUAGUGAUACCAAAUAAGUAUAUUCAGUUCAAUAAUUAUUUUCAAUGAUGAAUCACUUAGUGUGAAAGACUUGCCUUGUGUAUUCUUUAUGUAAUUACAAAUCACUGUCAAUUUUAUGGGAAGCUCAUAGUAUUUUAAUAUUUUAUUAACAUGGAACUCUUGUUUUUUUAAUCUUUAGAACUUAAAUUCUACAAGAAUUUUAAAUAUUUUCUGUAUAUAAUUAUGACAUUGUCACACAGAAAUUACACAUUUUAUGUGCCAGAAGCCUUAAAAAUCUGUGAAAAUGCUGAUAUAUUGUGACAGUUAUUUCACAUUUGAUAUGUAGAGAGGAAUAGGGGUUAGUUUAUGUUUAUAUUGAAAAACUUUAAAGACUAUUUGGAAGUUCCAGAAAUUCUGGUUUUAAUUCAAGUAAAAUGAUAAAAUAGUCAUUAUAUAGUUCAGAUGCUAAUAUUCUAAGUAAUAAUAUAUAUUUACAUUGAAGCUAAAACUGUUAAGCAAAACAAUGCCAAUUUGUCAGCUUACAGCUCUUCUGGAGUCUAGAGCCUGUUGGUGUUCUGUCCCUACUUUAAGAAUUUAAUUGCUCACUUAUUCUGAAAGCUUUGUUCAAACAAGAUGAUAUUAAAUUUGUUUUUACUAAAA